UACGUAGGAUGCAAGCGUUGUCCGGAUUUACUGGGCGUAAAGCGCGCGCAGGCGGCUAUCCAAGUCAGUGGUGAAAGCCCGGAGCUCAACUCCGGAACUGCCAUUGAAACUGUUUAGCUUGAGGACGAGAGAGGUGAGUGGAAUUCCCAGUGUAGAGGUGAAAUUCGUAGAUAUUGGGAAGAACACCGGUGGCGAAGGCGGCGAGCUGGUCCAUUACUGACGCUGAGGCGCGACAGCGUGGGGAGCAAACAGG
rnacentral:rRNA from 1 species